rnacentral:tRNA from 1 species
GGUCCCGUGGUGUAGCGGUUAGAAUGCCUGCCUGUCACGCAGGAGGUCGCGGGUUCGAGUCCCGUCCGGACCGCCA